CGGGGUGAGUAAUGUAUGGGGAUCUGCCUGAUGGCGGGGGAUAACUACUGGGAACGGUAGCUAAUACCGCAUAAUGUCUGCGGACCAAAGCGGGGGACCUCCGGGCCUCGCGCCAUCAGAUGAACCCAUAUGGGAUUAGCUUGUAGGUAAGGUAACGGCUUACCUAGGCGACGAUCCCUAGCUGGUCUGAGAGGAUGAUCAGCCACACUGGGACUGAGACACGGCCCAG
rnacentral:rRNA from 1 species